rnacentral:rRNA from 1 species
UACGUAGGGGGCAAGCGUUGUCCGGAAUUAUUGGGCGUAAAGAGCGCGUAGGCGGUCCGAUAAGUCGGCUGUGAAAGUCAGGGGCUCAACCCUUGGAAGCCGGCCGAUACUGUCGGACUAGAGUCCGGAAGAGGCGAGUGGAAUUCCCGGUGUAGCGGUGAAAUGCGCAGAUAUCGGGAGGAACACCAAUGGCGAAGGCAGCUCGCUGGGACGGUACUGACGCUGAGGCGCGAAAGCGUGGGGAGCAACAG